UGAGGCAUCCAGUGCGGUAACGCGACCGAUCCUGGAGAAGCUGGCGGGAGCCCCGGGGAGAGUUCUCUUUUCUUUGUGAUGGGCAGGGUGCCCUGGAAUGGGUCCGCCCCGAGAGAGGGGCCCAAGCCCUGGAAAGUGUUGUAGUUUCGGCAUCGUCUGGUGGGCUAUCCCUGGCCCUUGAAAAUCUGGGGGAGAGGCUGUAAAUCUCA
rnacentral:ncRNA from 1 species